rnacentral:lncRNA from 1 species
AUGUUACUUUACAAAACCGCUAGGACUAUCCGAAUAUUUCCUGUGGAUUUUUACAACGUGUGCAGAAACAGGCGUUAAAGGGAUUUGAAUAGAUUCAGCAACGGGAUGGCUUUUUUGAUCUAAAAGAGCAAACUAAGGGAGGGUUGAUUUAGCAGUUUUGUUUUGUUUGGAAAAUGGGUUAGUUUAGCUUUUUGGAUAUCUUUCAGAAAUGCUAAUUAUGGGUUGUAAAACGAGAAUGUUUGUUUUCUGUUUUUGCUUUUAUUAACUACUUAAUUAAUUAAUUGUUAAAGAUGUUUAUACGUUU